UGUGUCGAGCAGCCGAGGGGAGCACACGGGUUGGCACCCACCGGUAGCAACACACUUCGCUCACCUCUAGUCACUUCUUGUACUCAAGCUAGAAGCACUAAGCGACACUGACGCAUCGCAGGAAACUUAUCUAGUGUUACUAUACUUGUACUCAGGCUCUAGAACCACUCAGCAGUACUCUGAAAUAUCACAGGUUUCUCCUCUGGGCACACAUGUGAGACACUACUAACUCCUGUAUACAUUGUCAACAAGUGCCUGGACAUUUAAGGAGUUCAUGUGGAUGUGUCAAGACUAUCGUAAAGAGACAGGAGAAAAACUAUGACUAUUCAAGAAUACUGCAGGGCAUGAAGACGGCUGUGAAGAUUUAAGAAUAUUAUACAUGGUCUGGACAAUUGUGACCAUCCAAGAAAAGUGUAAAAGUUCAGAUAAACUGAACAAAACGAAAAGUUGUGGAUGGUCGAAAAAUUAUGUAUUGAUGGAAAAAAAAAACCUAUGUGAACAAAUUUUGAACAUGUGGGGAGUACUGUUGAC